CUACACUUUUUCUGCUACAGAGUUCCAUUUCCACUUCCUCACAGCCUGCUGCAUUGAACGCUCCACCUACGUAAACACCUUCCUGUAAUCAACGGCGCCGUCAUUACGGCGACCAGUGUAGCGCGGAGUGACAGCGUAGGGUUCAGUGCAGGUUCAGU